rnacentral:lncRNA from 1 species
CACGCCUGGGCGGCAGGGCUGGGAACGGAACCCAGGCCUCGCCAGGCCUCCCACCGAGUGGAGGGAAGCAGGAGCAGGGCGCUGCACAAGCCAGGCUCCCAUGAAGGGAAGGAAGGCAGGGAGGAUGGGCACAGAGGGCACAUCUCAGAACAGCACUCUUAGGAAAGCAACAAGUGCCAGACAAGCAGGACAUGAGCAAGGAGCCCUGGGAACAGCCUUCCAAGGCCAUGCAUGGAACCAGGUGAGAAGCUUCAUGGGACUCAACAUCCAAGCCCCACAGGAGCAGUGCCUGACUGGGACCCAGGGCAGGGCUGCGAGGCCUCACCUGCAUGAAGACGCACUACCUGUGGCUGAGGUGUGCAGGUGGAGGGCUCUGGGCAGUAAAAUGCCUCCUCGAAACUAACAAAAGCUCCUUCCCACCCCCAGGAACCUUGAAAGUACUCCUGCAGCAGGAACACCACUUACAGGGGCACAAGCUGGCCCCAGGACUCUCUGCUCCCAGCAUGGAGCUUUGGGCAGUAAGGAUGGCCUCAUUGCUCAUGAUAGGCAAGCAGAGUCACGCCCCAGACCAGCUGACCAUGUGAUUCCUUCUUGGAAAGUGACCUUCACAAGCCAUCCCAAACCAGCCCAGGGACCACGUGCUCACCAGCUGGAGUGCCUCCAGGUCAGUGUGCAGGGUACCUGGGCCACGGAGGGCCUGUAGGGGCCCAAUAUACUCUGUCAGUCUUCAGUAGUGUGGGUUGGGCGGGGGUGGGGUGGUGCUGCGCCCCUCCCCUGACUCCCGAAAAGGCAAGGCCCUACUGAGGUGGAGGGCACAAGGCGUCCAUCCUCUGGAGGAGCGCAAUGUUUCUGGGAACGGGCUGGUUUGUUUUUUGUAUUCCUGCUAAUAAGUAUAGUUGCGACUUGUCAUAUAACCAUUACAUAUGAAGGAAAAAACAUGAAUUUUCCAAUUGACGCAAGUACUUCUAAAGAAUAAAUCUGUUUGCUCUAAAUGCAAGGAUUCAGCUGGAACGUAAAUUGUACCUGUGCACAAUGGUUUGAUGCUCUUACUCUUGAUUAAAAUUAGAAGCCUCUCUUUUCAAGCUAACCACUUGCCAUAACUGUGGCACCGCUUUUAGUAAGUCAAGAAAGAAUAGCCAAGGUGUAGGCCAAUAGCCUGGGACAUUUCUAUUAUUAAAAGCUAACUAAGCAGAAACAGCUCAAAGCAAAACACGAACUUAAAGUAAAAAUGUUUGCUUAUGCAUAAGCCAAGAUACAUUCUUACGUGGGGGGCCCUGGUUUCAAUCCUCAGCACCACAUAAGAAUGAAAUAAAGAUAAUGUGUCCAACUCCAACUAAAAAAUGUUUAAAAAAAAUGGGUUAUUUCUAACAUUUUAGACAUUUCAUUUAAAAAAAUCAGUGCUAGGUGUGGUAGCCUGUAGUCCCAGAAAUUUAGGAGGCUUAGGCAGGAAUAUCACAAGCCCAAGAUGAGACCCUGUCUCAAAAGACUGGUGCAGGGCUGGGGAUGUGGCUCAAGCGGUAACACACUCGCGUGGCAUGCACGGGCAGCACCACAUAAAAAUAUGUUGUGUCCGCCGAAAACUGAAAAACAUUAAAAAAAAUUCUCUUGAAAAAAAAAAAAAAGACUGGUGCAGUGAUAAAGCACCCCUGGGUUCAAUCCCAGUACCAAAAAACUAAAUACUGAAAUAAUAAUUUAAAAAACCCUCCACACAUCCCUUUUCUUAGGACAGUUUCCACUUCAGCAAGGCCUUCCUUGCUUGUGGCCAGUGUGCUGGCAGGUGGGACUGUGCUCUGGGUCCCCAUGAAGCCCAGUGGGGGGAGUGCAAGAGCAUUUUCAAAUGUUCAGUCUGUCUAGGAGGCUGCCAACCACAACCCCCUCAGCUGAUCACCUGUGGGCUCCAGCUCCCUCCAGGCCAUCCUUCCUCAGUACCACCCUCUGGGGCCACCACCUUUCCAGGGACCUGGCCCACUAGAAGCCAGUGGAAACCAGAGGCCACCCAGGGCUGCGUCUUGAAGCCUUAUCCACCUCAGGCUGCCAGAGUGAAGCAGUGACCCACACUGCCCUGCUAAUAGCAGCAGGAAAUGCGGAGGUGUAGCUGGCUGAGGGGCCCUCGCCACCUGGAUGGUUCUGGCCUCCUACCCACUGCCCUUUGGAGUCUGCCCAAGUCGUAGGCCUGGCUAACUGGCCACCUGAACUGUUCUGCAGGACACUUUCGAGGAAUCAAGGCCACUAUAUCCUCCUACCUACUUUCUUACCUCCUGCUUGCGUAGGGUAAGGUCUGAGCAUCCUUCACUCUCAUACCACCCAU